GGGCGCAUAGCUCAGCUGGGAGAGCAUCUGCCUUACAAGCAGAGGGUCAUAGGUUCGAGCCCUAUUGCGCCCACCA
rnacentral:tRNA from 1 species